GUGAUUUUUUUUAAAUAAAAAUUUAAUUGCCAGCUCUAAAAUAAAGAAUUCAAUUCAAUUCAAAAUUCAAAGUCUACUGACCCUUUUGUGUCCUCGUCGAUACGUGGGGAGUGGUCCUGACACAAUGAUCUCAAAGACCCGAGGAGAAGUCAUCGCUCGGGCCUGGCUUGCCGGGCCCUUGCAGAGAAACAGACAUUGAAGAGGUGCUGGGACUGUUAGCAGCGCACUGUAUAAUUACCCUGAACUUGUGAGCAUCAGUCUGGGAGGUUUUCAGCACAGCUCUCCGCUCUCUCAACUGGCCCUGCCUCACCUCCAGAUUGCGAAUUUGCUUCUCCCCGGGCUCCAGCUCAAGCUGCACCAAAUGCACCUUGAAUGUGUCUUCACCUGCAUUCAAAGGUAGACAUAAAUCCGCCAUUAAAGCAACAUCUCCACUGUAUUAUUUGGCCCACCCCAAAUGAUAUCACCAUUUUAGUUCAAGAAAAGGAGCAUAUUGACUUUAUCAGGAGAAUCUGAGAUCUCUAAUUUGUGACUAUGGCUUCAGCUGUGGAGAAGACUUUCAGACUGCUGAGGAGCAGAGUCAGGUGGUGGACAACUGUGAGAAAAGAGAAAGCGAGUGACCGAUCCCCUUUGCACUCAGCCGGCCUGCGAACAGGAUCACGCAGCACCGAGGACGAGCACAGGACACUUCUGGCACCUUCAUAAUAACUGUCACCAAUAAAUACACCCUCCGGGGCUUCAAACUUUCAUUUCAGCCUGCCGUGUGAUUCUUCAGCCU
rnacentral:lncRNA from 1 species